CGUGCUCCAGUGGCUCAAUCGGUUAGCGCUUGGUACUUAUACAGCAGUAUAUGUGUGGGUGAUGCCAAGGUUGUGAGUUGGACCCUCACCUGGAGUAUGUCUUCUUCCCAUUGC
ensembl:miRNA